UACGUAGGGAUCCAAGCGUUGUCCGGAUUUACUGGGUGUAAAGGGUGCGCAGGCGGACUUGUAAGUCAGGGGUGAAAUCUCACAGCUUAACUGUGAAACUGCCUUUGAUACUGCAAGUCUUGGAUCCAGAAGAGAGUUGUGGAAUUCCGAGUGUAGCAGUGAAAUGUGUAGAUAUUCGGAAGAACACCAGUCGGCGAAGGCAGCAACUUGGUCUGGUAUCGACGCUCAGGCACGAAAGCAUGGGGAUCAAACAGGAGUUAGAACUGAAUCCCAUGG
rnacentral:rRNA from 1 species